CGUCAAGUCGCCGCGACGCGGCGCGGGAAAGCUCCUGCACAUGCGUUCUCGCGGCGGGAAAUUGCGUUUGAAGUCCCGCCGUCGUCUUCGGCAGUCUGAUUCGUCGCGGAGGUCCAGCGCACGUUCCCCGGGGGCUUCCGCCCAAAUCGCGCGUGUCGUGUAGAUAGAAGCAGACCCCCGCGCGUGUAGAGAGCACACCUGGACUUGGGCCGUCUACUUGUUGCCGGCGCGGUUCUAUUUCGGUUCCGCCAUGUCCCUUGUCUCGCUGUUUUUGUUCCGUGCGCCACCAAAACAAACACGAAUCACUGGACUCUUUGGCUUCGUGUCAACUUGGAUUUGAAUUCCCGCCCCCGCGCGCCGAGGGCUCCGAUGUCGCUAAUCCGCGUUGACAUCCACUUGAUAAUUGUGCGUGGUAUUUAUGUUCGUCCGUCCCGCGGCGGGAAAGUGCUGUUGUACACGUUUUGAGACUCAAUAACCAGCUGAUCGGUACUGAUUUGGGGACUGGUUUAAAACAGUAUGAAAGUUGAUGAGGAACGACUGAUCCUUCCCCAAGCUCGGAAACCUCUGUUGUACGAGCUCGUCGGAUUACGUUUGUAUCUUUGAAGUUGAUGCUUCUGAUUUUGAAAGCCGUGUGUCCACAACAUCAAUUUUGAUGUAUGGCCCGUCCAAGUUCUGCUUUAAAGUUUCAGAUAAAUUGAAGAAUGAAAACUCCACUCUAACUCAAUGAGAAACAUGGUGGUGUCUAGAUCUUCACCUCAACCUGCAUUCAGACAUGCAAUGUCGCCGACGAUGCGCACUCACCCAGGGGUCCCGUCUUACACCGGGUACGCUCAAAGGGGCACAGGGCCCCUACGAGUGACCAUCUACGAAGACGUACCUCCCAUGAUGAAAGUCAAGUUAAAUUCUCACCAAGUUAGCAGAUACGACACCAGGGACGAUUCCGCUAUCCUAAAUAGGUACACAGAAGACGUGCCAAUUUUGCGUAAAUACGGGCGUAGUCACUCGACACAUGAACUGAUAGAUUUAGAGGACCGGGCAGCAGUAACUUCGUCACCAAAUCGGAGAGUGAGGUUCGACAUUCCUGACGAAUCAGUUCCAUGCCCCACUAUCCACUGGAAAGAUUGUGAUCUCGUUAAUUUCAGGGCUUUGCCUGUCGAUGACAGUCCUUUAACCGCCUCCGACAAGCUACAAAACAGUGAUCUUCCAUCCAACACGACUCCCUUCGACCCGGCGGCCCUUUGA
rnacentral:lncRNA from 1 species